rnacentral:misc_RNA from 1 species
GAUGAAGAACGUAGCGAAAUGCGAUAAGUAAUGUGAAUUGCAGAAUUCAGUGAAUCAUCGAAUCUUUGAACGCACAUUGCGCCCAUUAGUAUUCUAGUGGGCAUGCCUGUUCGAGCGUCAUUAAGUCCACUUAAGCCCUGCUUAGUGUUGGGAACCUACAGAAGCUACCCUGUAGCUACCCUGUAGUUCCUUAAAGACAGCGGCGGAGUUGUAGUACCCUCUGAGCUUAAGCAUAUCAAUAAGCGGAGGA